rnacentral:snRNA from 1 species
GUGCUCACUUUGGCAACACAUAUACUAAAAUUGGAACAAUGCAGAGAAGAUUAGCAUGGCCCCUGUGCAAGGAUGACAUGCAAAUUCAUGAAGCGUUUCAUAUUUUU